UGCCCACCUGGGCACGCCACCAUGAGAGCUGUACCGAGGCUGGUGGCCGUGAGGCUCAAGGGGGAGGUGGUUUUUAGGAGAGGGUACGUGAUGGGAACCACCGAGGUGGCACCCUGUGGAAUGCACAGAGCUCACUGGCGAGUCAUCGUGGAAGUGGGUGUGGACAGCACACACAGCUGGAACUGAGGCACCGAGGAUCUAUGUCCAGUGAGUUAUGAGACAUUAGAACCUGGCUCACUCUGCUGACGGAGCCCAGAAGAGAAAGCUCCCCGCUCUGUCUCUGUCUCUGCCUCUCAUCUUCAUCUGGCUCCAGUACCCCAUCCACACAGUUCCUUCCCACUUGCCGGCCGCCCUGUGAACUCAGUGGUCUUCAGCUCCAUUCCUGCCCUCUGGUGCUGUGCGGGCUGCCAGGGUGGCGGGAGUCCUGCAGGUGGCACUUGAUAGAUACAGCAGCAUCUGUCUUCUGCAGAGUCAGUCCAUGGGAGUCACCGGAGGGAGCCAGCAGAAGUGAUAGGCAGUUGUGAGCUGCCUGACGUUGAUGCUGAGACCUGAACAAGAGUUCUCGGAAAGAGCUGUACUAGAUCUCCACCACCGAGCCAGCUCUCUAACCCCCUCGCUGCAGGAGCAAACCCCAGGGAAAGGCAGCUGGAACUUGGCAGGAAAGAGAAUGGACUUCGUGAAAGAGAAUGGAUGGAGAGGAGUGAGCUCCAAUAGCCUCUGCUGCAACAUCCUCCACCGCUGAUCCUGCAUGUGCCUUGAUAUCUGGAGAUGAGGCAUCUAUUUUGUGACUGUGGCUGAUGAGCAAGAAGACGACAAACCAACACACUGAUGGGAAGGGUGGAGGAAUCCACGGUUAUUGGUAUCGCUGGCUGCUACAUGAAAACUGAGCUAGCAUUCAUAGUGCAUGCAUGGAAUAACUGUGGCUGUAGUUCUCCAA